AAUUUGUAAGCUAAAUUGCAAUUUUUUUUUGCAAUUGAACACUUGUCGAUCCAUUGCAUUUCAUGUUAUGGUUGGAUAGGAAAUUAAAUCGGCACAGAUUUGUGCCAAGAAAAUGAAUAUUUUAAGCAAAUAAUUAUUUUCUCACUCAAGGAGUUUUACUUCUGUGAUUGAUGUUGUUUGCUCAAUUAUAUUUUGUAUGACUCUUGACAAUGGAUAUCUUGGCUCUUGCAUCGAUGAAGAGCGUAGCGAAAUGCGAUACAUGGUGCGAAUUGCAGAAUCCCGUGAACCAUCGAGUUUUUGAAUGCAAGUUGCGCCUGAGGCCUUGUAGGCCAAAGGCACGUCUGCCUGGGAAUCAAGUAGUUCAUCGCUCUAUUUUUCAUCAUUGAAUUAAAUAAAUGAUUUUUAUAGAAGCGGAGUGUGGCCUGUCGUGUGUUGUGCGGUGGGAUCAAGAUUGAGUUGAUUUCCUUUAUACUGUAAUCGAUAAUUGGGUGGUGGUCUUCGUUGCACGGCCUUUAUAUAAUCGCUUGAUGUUAUUGGAAGUCUAUAAAAAAAAACUUGAUGCUUACAUUGUUGUUGGUGGCUUGUAGAAAUGUGACCCCAGGACAGGCGGGGUAACCCGCUGAGUUUAAGCAUAUAAAUAA
rnacentral:rRNA from 1 species